CUCAAAAAUAAAAUGGCCACUUGGAUUUUGUCUCUCCAUUUAUAAUCUGCAUCAUCGAAGUUGAACAUGAUGCAUCUUGGGUAGGGCUAGAAGCCCCUGGUACGGGCCCAGUUCUCUUCAUGGGAGCCUUGACAUCAAGUCUUGUAGUCUCCCAGUCCAAACAUGGCAGGUUAGCUGGGGGACUGGGUUUCGCAGUAGGGUAUUCUUGAGUAAGUCCAAGUUUACCCAUUAGUUGGAGAGAAUCUCUGGGAGCCAGGAGCCUUUCAGCCACUCCAUCCAGUCCUUAGAAUCAGCCCAUCAUUACUUCCCCUUCUCUUCCUCUCCACUCUCCUCCCCCUUACAAACAGUUACUUCCUCUUCAACAGUGCCUCCUCCUCCUCCUCUUUCUGGAGAUUCAGCUGCUUUCCCAUCUUUAGGAACCCUGGGCUCUACUUGCCUACUGAAGCUGUACCAUCUUCCUUCAGGGAGUGACCAGAUGAGAGGUACCAAACAAAAUCCUCUAGUAGGCUAGUGUUCAAAGGGUCAACCCUUUGCCAUGGGCCAAAAGACCUUUCUUCAAACAAUCUUCCUUUGGGGUAAGUUUUCAAAAGUUGCUUUUCUUGUCUGGAAACUUCUUUUCUUGCUGUGGAUCACCUCUUCCUCUCUCCCAGAGGUCAACGAAAUAAGUUGUCUGAUGAGUUUUACUAAAUACACUCUUCUCAAAAAAAAAGGGCCAAGAAAAGAAGGAGUUUUGAAAUGGUGAUUAUAUCUGUGCGAUCAUUAUCAUAUUGAGCACAAUUAUCAUUAUUAUUGCUCCGUGUCCCCAGGGGGUAAAGGGAGGCAUUGGAAGGUAUAUGAAGAUGCCAUGUAAACAUCCUCCAGAAGAUUAAGACAUGACGCUGGACAGGCACACAGCUCUGUUGGUGUGGUCACUGAUACAUUAAAAUCUGCAUUUCUACUGCAUUUCAGAUUAUCCACAUCAUGCUGUGCUCUUGAGAGGUGCCAACGUGAGGAUGUGGAGACAAAGAAAUCAGGGCUCUCAAGGAAGAUUUCAAAUAAUGGCAUUUCUAAUGUCCUUAUUAAUGCAGAUGCCUCGGGCAGUGUGCAAGGGCACUGUUUCUAAAUUCUGUAUCAUUCAACAUAUUUCUGUUCUUUACAAGUAUUAUCAGUCUGGAGAUUUCAGUAUCGCUGGCAUUGUCUCUCAGGUCUACACAUUUUCUGAUCCAAUUGUGUUCAGCAACCAUCCCUCCACAAAGGGUACUGUUGCAGUCAUAUCAACAUAUCCUGGCUUUGGAAUUUGCUGUUUCGGAGAUUAAUGCAAAUCCCCAGAUCCUACCCAACAUCACCCUGGGCUUCAACAUCUACAACAGCCACUUCAGCGUGAGCGGGACCUACCUUGCUUCUAUGGAGCUUCUCUCUUCUCAGAGAAGAUCGAUCCCAAACUACAAGUGCGGCUUUGAGAUAAAUCCAAUAGCAGCCAUUGGGGGACCUGACAUAUGCGUGCACAUGACCCACAUUCUGAGCCUCUACAAAUUUCCCCAGGUAGGAUAUAUGGAUGGAGCAUAGC
rnacentral:lncRNA from 1 species